rnacentral:rRNA from 1 species
ACGCUGGCGGCGUGCCUAAUACAUGCAAGUAGAACGCUGAAGGAGGAGCUUGCUUCUCUGGAUGAGUUGCGAACGGGUGAGUAACGCGUAGGUAACCUGCCUGGUAGCGGGGGAUAGCUAUUGGAAACGAUAGCUAAUACCGCAUAACAGUAGAUGUUGCAUGACAUUUGCUUAAAGGGUGCAAUUGCAUCACUACAGAUGGACCUGCGUUGUAUUAGCUAGUUGGUGGGGUAACGGCUCACCAAGGCGACGAUACAUAGCCGACCUGAGAGGGUGAUCGGCCACACUGGGACUGAGACACGGCCCAGACUCCUACGGGAGGCAGCAGUAGGGAAUCUUCGGCAAUGGACGGAAGUCUGACCGAGCAACGCCGCGUGAGUGAAGAAGGUUUUCGGAUCGUAAAGCUCUGUUGUAAGAGAAGAACAGGUGUGAGAGUGGAAAGUUCACACUGUGACGGUAUCUUACCAGAAAGGGACGGCUAACUACGUGCCAGCAGCCGCGGUAAUACGUAGGUCCCGAGCGUUGUCCGGAUUUAUUGGGCGUAAAGCGAGCGCAGGCGGUUAGAUAAGUCUGAAGUUAAAGGCUGUGGCUUAACCAUAGUACGCUUUGGAAACUGUUUAACUUGAGUGCAAGAGGGGAGAGUGGAAUUCCAUGUGUAGCGGUGAAAUGCGUAGAUAUAUGGAGGAACACCGGUGGCGAAAGCGGCUCUCUGGCUUGUAACUGACGCUGAGGCUCGAAAGCGUGGGGAGCAAACAGGAUUAGAUACCCCUGGUAGUCCACGCCGUAAACGAUGAGUGCUAGGUGUUAGACCCUUUCCGGGGUUUAGUGCCGCAGCUAACGCAUUAAGCACUCCGCCUGGGGAGUACGACCGCAAGGUUGAAACUCAAAGGAAUUGAC